GGCCCAUUAAAGUUAAUUACGCACGUGUCCGUGACACCGACAAGAGCGUGCGCCCCGGGCAGAGCCCAGAACGCUUCCCGGGAAGCCCUUAAUGGAAGCUCCGGCGCAGGUGUCACGGGCUGAUUCCGAGAGGCCCUGCCUCCCCCCGCGGCUGACCUCUCGCCCUCCCCGAAACGCGGCAAUCAGUGGGAACAGCUGCGUCUGCCAGCAAGUCGGCCGCGCCCCGGGCAGCCGAGAGCAGUUGCACCUGCAGAGCCUGGCGUUGGCUUUGGGUCGAUUAAACACCACUUGUUCUCACAAACCCCCGCGCCCGGUCUACCGACAGGACUCAAGGACCCCCUCCCCGGCUGAGGAGGGGCCGGCAGCUCGGAAUACGCAAACCAGCGCCUGUCCACUCGCCCGCAAACUGCAGCCGCCACCUGCUCUCCAGGUUCCCGCACCAGCCCCUCCGUCGCGGGUCCCUUACCUUGUGGCCUUUCCCCGGGGGACAUCUGACGUUAUUGGAGGCUCCCGCUGUCUGAUUCAUGUCCGGAGGAAGUUGGAGGCCGAUUCUCCACCUUUAAAAAAGUUCCUUGGCGCGUGGAGGAUGGCAAGGUGCGCGUCUCCCGGAGGCGAGGUGGGUCCUCCCUGUGCAGUCACGUCCGGGCGGCGUCCCCACGCGGCAGGUUUCCGUGGGGCCCCCCGCCCAGGGAUGCUAAGCCCUGCAGCCCGAACCGAAGAAGGAGAAGCAGCUGCUGCGACCCGGAGGAAGCCCGGCCGGCGCCGCCUGCUCCGAGGGCGCUCGGCCCAGGGCUGCCUUCCCUGGAAAUAGUCCAGGACUCUCCAGACCAGAAGCGCGAGCAAAUCCAAAAGGCGAGCUCCGAGGUGGGGCGAGGAGGCUGAAGACCCAGAAAAAUACGUUAAAUCAAGAAAAUGCUGAUAAUAUACUGUCUCCGAAUCAAAGAAGAACUUUGGGGAGUUCAUCCUGUCAAAGUUGAAAUGGCUGAUGCUACUCUGAAUGCCCGUUCCAAAUUCAAUUUAAAGGGCUCCAUAUGGCCAACACCAGCGGAAGAUACUGGGAAUGCAACAUCCUCCCUGCCGUGGGUGAGCUCACAGAAUGUUGAAGGAGCUGGACAGGAAGAAAAGAGGGUGGUAAGACGGUAAGUUACAAGCUAUUCCAACAUUGGCGACGCCAAAACGUGAAGAUAUGACAUCAUGAAGGUGGUGGGAUGGACGAUAGACUAGGAAGUGGAGUGGAGUGGAAAAGUACCAGUUGUGUUUGGGGGUGUUUCUGGCUUGGAUGGGAUGACGUGUUGGAUAGUGGCUGAUCCCGGGUAAUAUAAGAAAAGGUGUAACUGAGGUGAAAGAAACACGCAGACCUAAGGUUCGUGUUUGGUGGUGCAAACCUAUGGCUUUUAUUGAGUAUGGAGAGGUUACCAUGGGGACACACACACCCAGAGGACACAGGUCUGGAGGACCCAAGAAGGCAAGUGGACGAGGAGUUUGUAGGGGAUAUUGAACGAGUUACUGGAUGAAUGAAGCAUAGUUCUUACUCCCGAGAACCUUACUAUCUAGCGCCCCCUGACGGGGGUGGUCAGGGAUAACUGGGGAGGGUCAACGUGAAACUAACCAGGCCACAUCCCUGAAGCGUCCACAGACAAGCCUCCCCAUCCACGAUGCAGGCCGCUGUCCAGGUCGUAAAUCGAGUGGACGGCUCUCCACCCAUUUUGCACUCUCAGCUCAGACAAUGUGUUACUAUUUUUUAAACUUUUUAUUGGAGUAUU